rnacentral:rRNA from 1 species
CGGUAAUUCCAGCUCCAAUAGCGUAUACUAAAGUUGUUGCAGUUAAAAAGCUCGUAGUUGGAUUUCUGCGGGGACGGAGCGGCCGGUCGCAACUUGCGACUCGAGCUAGCGCUUUCCCCGCAUCCUGCCGCGAACCGUGCUACCAUUAGUUUGGUGGCGCUGGGGAUCGGCUCGAUUACUUUGAGAAAAAUAGAGUGUUCAAAGCAGGCCACACGCCUUGAAUAAGUUAGCAUGGAAUAAUGACUAAGGACUUUGGUUCUUUUCGUUGGUGUUCGGGACUGAAGUAAUGAUUGAUAGGGACAGUUGGGGCGGUCCGUAUUCCAAAGCGAGAGGUGAAAUUCUUAGACCUUCGGAAGACGAACAGCUGCGAAAGCGUUCCGCAAGGAUGUUCCCUUUGAUCAAGAACGAAAGUUGGGGGAUCGAAGACGAUCAGAUACCGUCGUAGUCUCAACUAUAAACUAUACCAGCUAGGGAUCGGCCAACGUUUAAUUAUUCGACUUGGUCGGCACCUUAUGAGAAAUCAAAGCAUCUGGGUUCCGGGGGGAGUAUGGUCGCAAGGCUGAAACUUAAAGGAAUUGACGGAAGGGCACCACCAGGCGUGGAGCCUGUGGCUUAAUUUGACUCAACACGGGAAAACUUACCAGGUCCAGACAUAGGAAGGAUUGACAGAUUGAUAGCUCUUUCUUGAUUCUGUGGGUGGUGGUGCAUGGCCGUUUUUAGUCGGUGAAGUGAUUUGUCUGCUUAAUUGCGUUAACGGACGAGACCCCAGCCUGCUAAAUAGCGCGGCCGAGCUUUGCUCGGUACGAGCUUCUUAGAGGGACCAUGAUGCGCGAUAGCACAAGGAAGUUUGGGGCAACAACGGGUCUGUGAUGCCCUUAGAUGUUCUGGGCCGCACACGGGCUACACUGGCGCCUGCAACGAGCAUAUCAGCUGGCCCGAGAGGGUCUUGGCUAAUCUUUGGAACCGGCGCCGUGCUUGGGAUUGACCAUUGCAAUUGUUGGUCAUGCAACGAGGAAUGCCUUGUAAACGCGAGUCAUCAGCUCGCAUUGAAUACGUCCCUGCUCCUUGUACACACCGCCC